UACGUAGGGGGCAAGCGUUGUCCGGAAUCAUUGGGCGUAAAGCGCGCGUAGGCGGCCCUGGUAAGUCCGCUCUGAAAGUCCAGGGCUCAAACCCUGGAAAGCGGGUGGAUACUGCCGGGCUAGAAUCCGGAAGAGGCGAGUGGAAUUCCUGGUGGUAGCGGUGGAAUGCGCAGAUAUCAAGGAGGAACACCAAUAGCGAAGGCAGCUCGCUGGGACGGUAAUUGACGCUAAGGCGCGAAAGCGUGGG
rnacentral:rRNA from 1 species